GGAGUAGUAGUGGCAAGAAGCCAGGGGAGCAGGGCACUGACAAUAAUGCAGGUAAGAGAAAUAGGCCACAGCAUUGGUUCUCUAUAUCUGUCUUGUGAUGUGCAGGCCAAUUGUAAUCCGUUUUCAAUGAAACUGUAGUCUAACUGUAGUCAAAUAUUGUAGCCAGGAUGAACAGUUUUACUCAAAGAGACCUAUAAAACAAUUAUAUCACUACCAGAACAUGGUAUUGAGAGAGAAUAUAGAUUUCUCUUACAUUUUCUUCUACUUCCUCAAGGUGCUGGAGUAGCGGUACUCCUGCUGUCUUUGUGCUGACUUGCGGUAACUCUGUGGUUCUAAAUCAGUAGUUGUAUAGUAAACUAUCGAAAAACAUGAACUUGUUUGACCAUGCUGCAGGUGAUAAUUGUUUUGUAGGCAACGUUUGCUUUGUGGAUUUCACCGGAUAGAUGUUGGUCUCUGGUUUUGUGAUGAAACAAACUAUGUGUAGUUGAAUUCAUUCCGCCACUGUGUGACUGUUGUCUUUUUGUUGUCACGGCCUUAUUGUAUAUCACGGUGGCUCAUGAACAAAUGGAUUACAGAGCAAACAACGCAAUUAUCACAACAUAGGUUGUAACAUGGCUUUUUUAGCUGUCUUGGCUUGGCUUCCUCAGUGAUUUUACCCACGCACUGCUACUGUGAGUGAGAUUGAUUUGAUCAUGUAUUGCUUGUUUGUUUUGAAGUUCCCAGAGCUCACUGAAAGUCCACCUAGGGACGUCAGAGGACAGUAACAUCAGCAGUGUCCAGGAGCAACUCUGACCAUGAGAUUAUGUCCUCUUGCCCACCUGAGCUGACUGCUGGUCUUGUCAAGGAGGUGAUUGAACAGCUCAACUCUGUCCUAUCUAUGACCAUCAGCAGAACCCUUUCUGGGCAGUCCUCCCCUGUUGCCUCUGGUACUCCGGCAACUGAACAGAUGGUCAACAUGGUCCAGAAGUGUUUCAAUGAUCACACCAAUCCAGAGGAUGAAUUAGAUGUUGAGUCCUGCAUUCCACCUGCGACAGACAAGGUGAAGACUGUUUUUGAAGACAUGUUGGAUAAAUGGAAAAAAAGAAGAUCCGGAAAUCAUCUAAGCUGCUUUGAGAAGUGGCUGUGAAAGUUAAAAUGUUGGCAUCUGGCAGUGACCUUGCAUUGGAGCACCUAGAUGCUGAAGACUCUCCUGUUCCAGAGAACCUGAACAUACAGUAUAUUGCAAGGCAUUGGUGGAAAAACCUUGACACUGUUAAGUGCGAAGUUCAACACCAAAGCUUCAAAGGCUGUGGCCGAGAUGGUAGCGAGAAGGUUUUGUAGCGUUACCUUUUUUUUUGAUCAGACUUCCCAUUCAUUUAGUGCCACUCUCAGCUUAAUGAAUACGUCUGGCCCAUCUGACAGGAUCCUUGAUUUCUGUGGCCAUUGGGCUCAUACAGACAGAUGUGGAUUUGGAGGCGUCGAAAAGAAUUGACAACUUUGUUGAUGAUGUCAAAGAUCUUGUGAAGGAAGCUAAAUUAGAUAAACCAACAAGCACCCAGAGAGAUCCCCAAAUGGCACAUUGCAUGUCAAAGCAAAUAAUUAUUUCAAACUAGAAAAACAAGCCAAAGCAACAAUGGCUCAAGGCAAAGCAAUCCUCAGCCAUAUUCUGAUUUCCAAAAGAAAAAUUAGACCAAACGGUGACAGCAGGAGAGCUUUCACAAAUAGAGAAUGUGGUUGGAAUUAUGCUGGAGGACAUUGAGAAGGUAAGCAGUGGAUGUGGUGAGGACCUGGAAUCCAUUUUCCUCUUUGCCAAGGUCAUCAGCCAAAUCAGCAUCAUCAGCAAAAUUACAGAAAAGAGUGGGAAUUUGCUCUCCCUGGCACUCCCAUCCCUUCUGAAUUACCAGAGAGUAAUACUCCACCCAUUGUGAGAUGUUCAGUCAUCGACAUGAGUGAAUCCACUGAGCCAGAAACAUUGGUGUGUGAUGCCAGGAAAUCCAUGUCUGCUAUAACAGAUACCAUGAUAAAGGGGGAAUAUCCAGAGGAAGAAGGGCAGGUUACAGCUCACUGUGAUCUGACAGCUGGGAUUGCUAGAAUGGAGGAGGUCAUAUAUCAGAGUAGGAUUGGUGCUCUCUCCCAUGAUCUUACUCACCAAGUCAACCUAAUCAGUGACAGUGGCGGCUGGAAAGAUUGCAUCCGAUACAGUUCUUACUAAGCUGAAGAGAAAGGACAAGAAGGUUGGGAAUCCAACAGCUUAUGAGCUUGUUCAGCUGUUUGCAGAGGAGUCUGUGAAGCGUCUCCUGCAUCCUAGCCUUGUGCUUUCUUUAGCAUCAAUGAGUUUGGCUCAGGGAGUCAGUGUGUCGGCUAGCACGUCCGAAGAUAGGAUUUCCUGCUCCUCUUCUUCAUCAGUAUUCAGUGAGUGGCACAGUCAGUCUGUUUAACAAAGUUAUGGUAAGCCAGGUCAUGGACUUUGGUUUCUGAUGCCCAAAGCAGAGGGUCAUCUUCAACCGAGAAACCAGAAUGCCUCCAAGUAUCUUUGACAACUGUCACUGACCCAGGCUGUUUAAUGAGUGGCAAGUCCUCCCCUCGGCCAUCUCUCUCCCAUGUCAGUGCGGCAGUAAGUGAACCCUCCAAAGUAGUACGAGGCUUUGAAGCCAACAUGUGUGGAGAGAAAGAGGAUACCACCAGUCGUUCUGGUGUAGCUCAGAAAAUCAUCAGUGAUCAGAUGUCGACGGGCCCAGAUGUGGUCAAAUAUGCCUCGCCUCCAUCCCAAUCCUCUGACAACUCAGACAUUGAUGAUGCCUUUACCGGCCUCGUCAACAUGCUAGGGGUGAGGCUUCUGUCCAAAAUCCAAAACCCAAAUGGAUCUGUACCCAGUUGAUGUCGCACGCACAUCACAAGACCUGAUCCUCGACGGUAAUGGCUGUCUUGUGUGCAAUAUCAGGCUCCUCUGAGACCCAAGCUUAUCCAGAAAGCCUGAGGAUUCAUAAAGAGUACAGGGCCGUGUAAAAACAUCUGUUGGAGGAGUUUAGCUCAGAGAAAAUCCUCCAACUGGCUGUGUCGACUCACGACUAUACCUUUGAUAGGAUUCUUGUCAAGUCCUUGAGUAAAGAGCUCCUCGACCUAUGUAAUAAGGCCCGCCUCAAGAACAUUGUUCGAAGCCACUGGAUCUAAAGCUUUUCCUCUGGCUGAGGAUGCGAAGGCUAGCAAAGUGAAGUUCUCCUUCCUAGAAAAGGCUUGCCUAAAUUGUUCAAGAAGGGGAACAAUAAGGAUUCACACCUCUCAGAGUCUGAAGACCAGACUACUGCUGAGAGUAGCCUGGUGCCCAGCAUAGUUCCACAUGCUGCCACAUCUGCACUUCCAGAGGAUCUUCCCUCCACGUCUCAACAGGAGAAGCCUUGCAAGCAUACCCUUGUCAUCAGGAUGUUUUCGGCGAUCUCCAAAGGCCUGUCCAGGCGCUUCUCAAAGAGAAAGUAACC